UAUUUAUGAAUAAAAUUUAAUAAAUUUAUAUUAUAUUUUUGUAUUUGAUCUUGAUGCCGUGGUAUUUGAGGCCUUAUUGAGAGCUGACUCUCCCUUCUCUCAGACUGUUCCCUCCCAAGAUUUGCUAAUUCCUAGAAGUAUAAAAAACUGGCCACCAGGAGAGUGUGUUUCAUAUACAAACUAACUGCUAUAGAGCCCAGAAUCCCCCUUCCCACCUCCCUCUGGCUUUUAUACUCUAGGCCCCUGUUUCCCCUGUUAUUAACACCAGGGCCAGGUGGGAGACAACUUGGGACAGCCCCCAGAAGUCUGCAGAAGUUAUACUGGCCAAGUCUGAGGUCGUCUAUGCUGUUUUACUGUUCUUUCCCACACAACCUACAACACAGGCUAUUACCCAUGUCUUCCUCUCACUCCGGACCAACCUUGGUGCUGCUCUGGGUAGCCCUGCAUGGCAUGGCACAACAUGCCCCUUCUUGUACAUUUUAACAACUAUCUUUCUAAAGACAGGUGUCACCUAAUAUGUUGGCCUCACCACACCUAAAUAAUAAUAAAACCUUCAUCUUAGAAUGUAAGAAAUCAGGGGCUGGGGUUGUGGCUCAGUGGCAGAGCGCUUGCCUCACAUGUGUGAAGCACUGGUUUGAUCCUCAGCACCACAUAAAUUGAAUAAAUAAAGGUAUUGUGUCCAUUUAUGAUUGAGAAAAAAUUUUUUUAAAUGUAAGAAAACAUGGAAGGCUUCUUCAGGCAGAGGGCCUGAGACAGGUAGGCACGUGGCAUCUCUCAAGAAUCAUGAGAAGACUAGGUUGGCAGGAGUACAGAGGUCUGGAGGAUGGGAGAGGAGCUGAGGAGGUUGGCAAGGUGUGUUAGCUUUCUGUUUCUGUGAACACACCUGAGAGAAACCAAAAGAGGGAAGAUUUAUUUUGGCUUGCGGUUGCAGAAAUUUGAGCCCAUGGUUGCUUAACCCUGUUGCUUAGAUCGUCUGAUGGAAGAGGUCUGUAUGGCUGCAUGGAAGCAAAGAUAGGAAGGGGCUGGGUCCUAAUACCCACUUCAAAGGGAAACUCCCAUUGACCUCACUCCUUCCAACUACACCUCACCUACUAAAGGAUCCACCACCUGUGGAUAGUGCCACAGGCUGGCAACCAGACUUUAGCAUAUGGACCUUUCGGCCACAUUUCGGAGUCAAGCCAUAGUACAAAGACCUCUACAGACUGUGUGGCCCAUGUUAAGGGUGUUAAUUUAUGUUGAGUCUGAGAACUGAUUUUAGCUCCAAUCCUGAAAGUAGAGCGGCCAGAGUACAUGGUUCAUCUCUGAUGCUGGUGAGGAGAAGGUGGGCACUUUCACUGGGUAAGUAGGAGCUCCAAGGCAGGACACUCUCUAAUCCAAUUAUUUUCUCCCCAGUUUUACUUCUUUGGCACUCUCUUCUGUCAGCCGGAACACAGAGCAGUGAGUGGUGCCCAUUCUCCUGCCCCUGAGACCCAGGUGAAGUUGGAUUUCUGCCCUUUCCUGUACGCCAUCUGGACAUCUGGAGUGGGAAAAGUUUUCUGCUCCUUGUCCUGAAUCAUCUUUGCUUCAUAUAUCUUAUCCAAGGACAGGAGUCAAGGGUAAUGGCUGGAUUUCAAGCCUGAAGGAAUGGUUGCACCAUUAACAGAUCAGAGGAAUCCCGAGGAGAUCUGGCUUUUUCAUGAAAAGAAUCUAGGGUUAUAGAAGUCAGAAAAGAUUUUAAGAGUAAUGGGAAGAGGAUAAUGUAGAGGAAGGUUAUGGUCUGUCAUUUGGAGUUUUUUUUUCCUUUGGUUUUGUACCAGGGAUUCAACCCAGGGGUGCUCAACCCUCCUAUAUACAUCCUUCCCCCCAGCCUUUCCAGUGGAGUGAUGAUCAUGAGGUUUGUUUAAUUCACCAUUGGUAUCUACGUUAUGACCAUGUAAAUAUUGUUCCCAGCAGAGCCACAUUGUAUAAUGUAAUUAAUUUUCCUUUUUUUUAUACGCUGGAGGUAGUUAUUGCUUCUUUUUGCUUGCUUAGUUUUCUACUUUUCUAAAACUCACCAAUAAAUUCAUAAAACCCAUGGUGGAGCAUAUAGGGUAAUAUAUCGGUUCAACUUUUUUUCCUUGGUGAAAUCCUCUUGUAAUACAUAUAUAUAUUUUUUUGGUUUGGAUUGUGGUAAUGUCGACUUCACAGGAGAAGUUAGGAAGCGGUCCCUCUGCCUCUGUCUUCUAAAAGAAAUCAGAGACCUGGUAUAACUUUAUCCUAAAACAUUUGGUAGAAAUUACCAGUAAACACAUCUAGACCUGGUGCUUUCUGCUUUAGAAUUGUUAAUUAUUGGUUCAAACUCUCUAAUUGAUUUAAUUCACUCAAAGAACCAGCUUUUGGCUUUCUUGAUUUUCUGUUAACUUCCUGUCUUUAAUUUCUAACUUUUUAAAAAGUUUCUUGUUUACUUUGGAUUUAAGUUGCUCUUCUUUUUCUGGUUUCCUAAGGAAGAAGCUUAAGUGAUUGAUUUUAGGUCAUCAUCCUUUUCCAGUAUAUGCAUUCACUGCUAUAAACAUAAUCUAAGCACUGCUUUUGCUCUAUUUCACAAAUUCUAAUGUAUUUUUAUUUAGCUUAAAAAUUUUUAAAUUUCCUUUGAGAUUCUUUUUCGGAUCCAUGUAUUAUUUACAAGUUUUUGUUAAAUCUCCAAGUAUUUGGGGACUUUAUUUUAUGUUCCUGUUUAUUAAUUCCUAGUUUAAUUCUUUGUGGUCAUAGACACUGUAUAAUUUCUAUUCUCUUAAAGUAGUUAAAUGUUAUUUUAUGACCCAGAACGUGGUUUAUGUUGGUGAGUGGAGAAGAAUGUAUGUUCUGCUGCUGUUGGAUGAAGCAGUCAGUAGGUGGCUAUUAUGUCCAGUUGAUUGAUGAUGAUGUUGCAUUCAACUUAGUUUUAUUGAUUUUCUGUAUGCUGGAUUUGUCCAUUUUGUCCAUUUUGCAGUCUAUAAUGGAGAAAAGCUGUGAAUGUCUGUAUGUAUGGAAAUUUCUGGGUGCUGGUCAAACUUUGAUGGUCAUGGAUAUGGUGAGAGACUACCAUAUCAUGGAAUAUGCAAAAAGCUGGCUGUUGCCCAUCUUUUGUAUAAAAUGAGAGAGUUCAUCCUGGAGAGAAGCCUGCUGGUGUGUUGAACAUAGAGGGUGCUUCAGUAACCGCUCCACAUAUUCAACAUGAGAGAAUCAUGGUGGAGAAAAGACUGACAAGUGUAGUAAAUGUAGGAAAGGCUUCAGCUGCAGUUCAUAACUUUCUCACCAUCAAAGAAUUCACGGUACAGAGAAGUAUUAGAAUAAUCAACACCGGAGUUGUUGAAUGUAAGUUGCUGGCCAGAACUAAACUAACCUAGGACUCCUGCUACAGGGAGGCCCUGUAAACACUGAGAAUGGAAGAAGGCAUAGAUUGACAGAACAUGUUCCACUCACAUGUUGUCUUUCACACUUGUUCAACCUGCAGAAGGUCAUGGUGGAGACUGCAAGGGAGGACACUCUUAUUUAGGAUUUAGCUUAAAGCUCCACAAACAUGACCUUGAAAUUGCCUAGGUUUUGUUGUUGAUAAAAGCCAAGAAUGUGCACAUUUCCACUGGAGGCCUUGGCGGUGGUGCAGCGCUGGCAAGCUCACAGAUCUGGAGCAAUAAUGGUGAAAGCAAACCUGCAGCCACUUCACUCACAUUAAGUUGCAUCUGCAUCCCUUGCCCAGCACUUGGGACUUCAACCCCCAGCUGUCUCAAGCAAGGAAUCAGUGAGCUGUUCUAAACAAAGGAGCAAGAAACCUUGCCUCUCAGUGCACGGGAAGUGUAGGAGGCGGCCAGGGGCGGCAGAGUGGCUGCGCACAGGAGGGUCACCUUGACUUGUUAUCCCUCCCUGGAACCAGCCACACCAGGAGGCCCUGCAUUUCUCCUUAAACAGCCUACCCAGCCCUUCUGCUGGACUUCCUCAUGGGAACUCCAAGAGUGGGUUCUUUGCCGACUCAUUAAAGAGGCAGGCUAACUCACCAGACACCCAGCCUGUUUUAUACAGCACCCUGACCAGUGCCCAGGUGCUGGUGGCUGUACAGAGAUCUUGCCAAGAUCCAGCUUAAGAGGACCAGCGCUGGAAUCUGCAGAACUGGGGCUAAAUCCUAGUCCCUGAUCUGGCUGGGCACAAAUUACAAGCCACUGAAGCAGGAAC